CGCCGGCGCAGGCACGGAGGUCGGGUUGACCCAGUGGCUCCCCUCGGCGCCUAGGGACAGAUCUCGGCGGGUUUUAGGGUGCCCCGGCGACAGGCGGGUCUGGGCGGAGCCCCUGCCCCGCGGACGAGGCCGUCCGGUCCAGCCGACGGGGCGCACGGCGUCGCCCCUCGGAGGAUGCUCCCGGGACUUGGGAGAGGAUGGAGGGAAGAGAAGCGCCCGAGGAGCGGGCCGUCGACGUUUGAUGUCCGUGCUUUAAUGGAGGCCACCCGAUCUCAGAAGACGGGCCGGCCGAAGCAGCCAGCACCGGGGCCAGAGCCUCGGCCGGCCGCGCAGAGCCCGGGAGUCCCACGGGCAGCCACAGGGUGUCACAUCGGCACAGAAAAUACCUCCGGGGUCGGGAGACUGUUACCUGCUUACCUGCUGGCGAGAGGGAAACGCAGAAAGUAGCACUGCGUGACGUUUAGAAGGGUAGCUCUUUCGUUAGACAAAAGCCAGUUUUACCUUCCCGCAAAACCCAGUUGAACCUUUGGAACUUUGAUUUGCGGCAUUCUGGCGCCCUCUGGCUGUGUUUGGAUUGCUCGUGCUCGCCUGUUCCUUCCCCGCGAGGAAAAAUGAUCUAGUUAGAAGUUGGAUCUGCCCUCCUGACCUGGGAGUGAAUUCCAGACAGGCUUGGUGUCCAGAAUCAGGGUGACACAAUGUAACCAUAUUUAGGGGGACAAAUGCCUGAGAGAAGAUAAAAAUUAAUGUAUCGGCAGUGCUUCUGGCUACAUUUCAUGAUGGAGAGAAAAAACAAGCCUUCCAAGGGUGUGAUUGGAAUACAGAUCCAAGGUUACCAUGGAAACCAGAGCCAAAAGCUUACACCCAUGAAGAGAACUGUGGGUGGAAUGAAAAUGUCUUCAAUAAGCAAAGUCAGCCUUCCUGGGUUAUAAACUGAAUUGCGCUGCCAUUUUUAAUCACCUGUAUAACCAGCUGCAGUGCCACAGAACGUACAUCACUGAAGACGUUUACACAAGAUAAUUAUUCUAUGAUUACUGAUUUUUGCUAAAGGAUUUGCCAAAGAAUUGCUUGCAAUAUAAUGGACUCAUUGUCACCUAAAGUAGUUAGUUUACAAAAACUUCAGCAUGUGCUCAGCUUUUCAAACCAGGCCUAUGGUGUCGGUUGAGACCCACAGUGGAUUAUUUAUGUAGACCUCACUUCACCUUCCAACCUCAGCCUGGCUCCUCUCUCCCUACCUUCAGUCUCACCUGCCAAAGCCUAGCA
rnacentral:lncRNA from 1 species